UUAACGUCUGAAAUAUGUGGA
ensembl:piRNA 21ur-7500 ncRNA